UUCGCCUCCAUCGAAAUGCGACUACCGCGGCCGGGAUCGAACCAGCGACUUUCGGGUCUGAUACGGGUCCUAUUUGGACCCAAGAUAUUAAAUUUACUUUUGGAAUGGGGCGGAGUGCUUGAAGCUUGCUUCACCUCCGCCACGGGUUGGCCCGGUAUUGCACUAUCUCCGCAGCCGAGCACCA